rnacentral:rRNA from 1 species
UACGUAGGGGGCAAGCGUUGUCCGGAAUCAUUGGGCGUAAAGCGCGUGUAGGCGGCUCGAUAAGUCUGCUGUCAAAGUUCAGGGCUCAACCCUGAAAUGCCGGUGGAAACUGUCGAGCUAGAGUCCGGAAGAGGCGAGUGGAAUUCCUGGUGUAGCGGUGAAAUGCGCAGAUAUCAGGAGGAACACCAAUGGCGAAGGCGGAUCUCUGGGCCUUACCUGACGCUGAGGAGCGAAAGCAUGGGGAGCAAACAGG